UUGUUUACACCAAAUGGUUUUGUAAAUAUUGCUUUUGGAAUAGUUUGUCUUUCUAUCCUUUGUCACUCAAUUUUGGUAUUCCCUUUCCCUUCCCUAGUUCUAAUACACAUAUAUACAGUAUCUAGGGUACUAAGAACAGAUACAGUGUUAGCAGUGGUACAACCACAGGAAGGGAAUACAAGAGGAUCAUCAACAAUAGAA